rnacentral:rRNA from 1 species
GACGAACGCUGGCGGCGUGCUUAACACAUGCAAGUCGAACGGAAAGGCCCUGCUUUUGUGGGGUGCUCGAGUGGCGAACGGGUGAGUAACACGUGAGUAACCUGCCCUUGACUUUGGGAUAACUUCAGGAAACUGGGGCUAAUACCGGAUAGGAGCUCCUGCUGCAUGGUGGGGGUUGGAAAGUUUCGGCGGUUGGGGAUGGACUCGCGGCUUAUCAGCUUGUUGGUGGGGUAGUGGCUUACCAAGGCUUUGACGGGUAGCCGGCCUGAGAGGGUGACCGGCGACAUUGGGACUGAGAUACGGCCCAGACUCCAACGGGAGGCAGCAGUGGGGAAUAUUACACAAUGGGCGGAAGCCUGAUGCAGCAACGCCGCGUGCGGGAUGACGGCCUUCGGGUUGUAAACCGCUUUCGCAUGUGACGAAGCGUGAGUGACGGUAAUGGGUAAAGAAGCACCGGCUAACUACGUG